UACGUAGGGUGCGAGCGUUAAUCGGAAUUACUGGGCGUAAAGCGUGCGCAGGCGGUUCGUUAAGUUCGUUGUGAAAGCCCCGGGCUCAACCUGGGAACUGCAAUGGAAACUGGCGGGCUUGAAUGCGGCAGAGGGGGGUGGAAUUCCGCGCGUAGCAGUGAAAUGCGUAGAGAUGCGGAGGAACACCGAUGGCGAAGGCAGCCCCCUGGGUCAAGAUUGACGCUCAUGCACGAAAGCGUGGGGAGCAAACAGG
rnacentral:rRNA from 1 species